rnacentral:rRNA from 1 species
ACUAACAAGGAUUCCCCUAGUAACGGCGAGUGAAGCGGGAUCAGCUCAAACUUGAAAUCUCCGUUGCUUGCGACGGCGAAUUGUAGUCUCGAGAAGCGUUUUCAAGGCGAAUGCGCAGUACUUAAGUUGCUUGGAACGGCACAUCGUAGAGGGUGACAAUCCCGUACGUGGUACUGUGCAUCGUUCACGAUGCGCUUUCUAUGAGUCGGGUUGCUUGGUAAUGCAGCCCAAAAUGGGAGGUAAACUCCUUCUAAAGCUAAAUAUUGGCACGAGACCGAUAGCGAACAAGUACCGUGAGGGAAAGAUGAAAAGCACUUUGAAAAGAAAGUUAAUAGUACGUGAAACCGUUAGGAGGGAAGCGCAUGGAAUUAGCAAUGCACUGUCGAGAUUCAGACGAUCGGUGUUCAGUACGGCCUUCCUACGGAUCCGAAUGGACCGUUGUCGUUCGUCACUUAGUAUUGGUUGUCGCAUUUCCCGUCGGUGUGCGUCAACAGGUGUUGGAACCGAGUGAUACGCCUCGCAAAAAGGUGGCUGGUUUCGGCCAGUGUUAUAGGUUGCGAUGUGCUAGCUCGGAUUCGACAGAGGUGUCGCAGCACAUGCCCGUUCACGGGCUGGCUUCUGCUUCCUCAGUUUGGCGUGACAAUAGCGGACUGCAUGCAGUGCGCUUGAACUUCCUCAGGCUGUCGGAAGCAAGAAUGCACACUAUGUGCUCAGGUUGUUGACGGUCAUAUGGUUUCAUGCGACCCGUCUUGAAACACG